rnacentral:lncRNA from 1 species
CACUAUCUUUUCAUUAACGGUAAAAUCUAGGGGUCAUUGGACUAAAUUUACUUUACUUGGAAUAAAGGAAAGAAAAACACCAAUUCCUCAAAAAUAAAAUGAAUGUUGUAGGAAAAAAUAAAAUACAGAGAUUGGAGGGAGUGUUGCAAUUUUCCAAGUGCUAUUAAAACUUUUGUUUAUAGCACUGGAAGUUGUGAGGGGAGAUUUGACCUCACAUCUAGUGCUGUAAGAUGAUGGCCAGCGUUUAUCAUACAUUUAGUCAUUCAUUAAACAUGCAUUUUUGAACAUGAACACAUUUAUGGGCAUGUAGUUUUUGCCCUCCAACAACUUAGAGUUUAUGAGAAAAGAUGCAUAUAUGCAAAAUUUUUGCAAGGUCUGAUGAUGAGUGCCAUAGUCGAAACACAGAAUGGUAGCAUGCUAGUAGGAACAAAUGGCAGGGACAUCUUGAAAAACUCUUUGACAGUCAAAUAACAAACCUACCUAGUGAGAUGAUGAAAGGAUCAUGGAAUACUUCUCAGAUAAAGUGAUGUGUUAAUAGUUUCCUGGAAAAUCAGAGGAAAUUCAGAGAGAAAGCAGAGGGACCCAAAUAUAGAGGCAUGAAGUAAUGCGAUAAAUUCAGAAAAAUAGGGCUAUGGGGAUGGAGUUUCUGAUGAAACAAAGAAGAUGGCAGAAGAUAAAGCCAGAAAAGUCAGCAAGGGUCAUCAAGAAGGGAAAAUAAUUGCAACCAGCCUGCGUUUUUAUUCUUCCUUCAUCUCUUUCUUACUCACCAGGAUUCCUAGGGCACAUUCUUCAGUUCCCUCAGAAGAUGGGGACAAUGAUAAUACAUGCAUCAUAAAAGUUGCUGUGAGAACUAAAGUGAAAUAUGGUAAUACAUGUGAAGUUUAGCAUAGUGACCGGCACCAAAUAACAUCUCAACUAAUGUAAACUUGUUGUUAUUCAAAUAUUAGUUGAAGAAAUCUCGUCUUUAUUCUCCGGUCAGAGGAAAGCCAUGCAAGUAUCUUAAGAAAAGCAAUGCUAUAUCAAGAUCUGUAUGGAAAAUGAAAAGGAAAUAGACUGGGAAAUGGGAUAUGUUAGAGGAGAAGGAAGAUUAAAGCUAAGGAGAGGGAUGUACAUAAUUGAGUGACAAUAAGCCUAAGGAUUUCAGCUCUCUCCCAGGUUUGGGAUUUGGGGAAUUAGGACAGAUGGUACUAAUAGUAACCAAGUAAGAAGAUAUAUAAGAGACAGAAAGUGUAGUGGAAAAAUAAUAAAUUCAGUUUAUUUACACAUGAAUUUUGAGGUAUCCAGGGACAUCACAUGGGGCACUCUGCAGGUAAGAUGAGUCGGGUCUGGAUGUGAAAAAAAGUCCGGACCAGAGGUACAGUCUUGGCAGUUUUUGGAUUGGUGAGAUUAUUUAGGGAGGAAAGCUAGUAUAUUAACCUGAGAAAGACUAGAAAGAAAAAUAUGAGGGAACCAAGAGAGAAUGAGGCUGCAGAGAUCAAAGGAAAAUAGUUUGAUUAAAUUUGGAGUCAUAUUUUGACCAGUACCUCCACCCCACUUUUCUGUUCUGCCAUCUCCUUUGUAGACAGCCUCUAGGUGCUCCCACAAACAUCUGAAGUUAUUUGUAUCAUCUUUUGUGGGACACAACCCUCUCCUGUGGCUCCUUAUUCUUGCAAGCUACAGGGUUUGUCUUACCUAUGAUUUUCUUUUAAACCAUCACAGUAAGUAUGGAGCAAUAUUGACAGGAAAGGUCCAUGCAAAAAUUAACCAUGAAACAACUUUUUAAAAAAAAUCAUUUAUUUAUAUAUAUUUUUUUCUACUGUACAGCAUGAUGACCCAGUUACACUUACAUGUAUACAUUCUUUUUUCUCACAUUACAUGUUCCAUCAUAGAUGACUAGACAGAGUUCCCGGUGCUGUACAGCAGGAUCCCAUUGUUAAUCCAUCCCAAAGGCAACAUUCUGCAUCUGUUUACCCCAAGCUCCCAGUCCCUCCCCAUCCCUUCCCUUCCCCCCUUGGCAACCACCAGUCUAUUCUCCAAGUCCAUGAUUUUCUUUUCUGUGGAAAGUUUCUUUUGUGCCAUAUAUUAAAACUUUUGUUUUUAAUUUUUAACACAUAUUGGAAUUAUAACCAAGUAUGCUAAUAUGAAUUUAAAAGUAACUAGAGGGAGUUCCCAUUGUGGCUCAUCAAGAUAAGAACCUGACUGGUAUACACAAGGAUAAAGGUUCAAUCCCUGACCCCCCUCAGUGGGUUAAGGAUCCAGUAUUGCUGUGAGCAGUGGUAUAGGUCGCAGAUGCUGCUCGGAGAAUCCUGUGGCAUAGGCUGGCAGCUGCAGCUCUGAUUCGACCCCUAGCCUGAGAAUGUCCAUAUGCUUAAGGGUCAGCCCUAAAAAGAAAAAAAGGUAACUAGAAAUAUAGAAUCACUAGAGAGAGAGAGAGAGAUUAUAAAUUUAGCUACAUCAGGUUUUUUGUUUUUUUUUUAAUUCAGCAUGGAAGUGAACACCAUAAACAAAGUUAAAACUUGGAAAAGUGUUUGCAAUUCAUAUCACACAUGAAGAGCUAAUCCUAUCAUUACACAAAGAGCAUCUAGAAAUCAAGGUGAAUUUUUUCAGUGACAAUAAAAGUAAAUGAGCAUGAACAGUUCACACACACACACACACACACACACAAAAAGAGAUAUGAAGGGCCCUAAACAAAAGAAAAGAUAUUCACUCAUUUAUCAUAAGAAAAAUGCAAAUUAACACCUUGGUAGAGUUUUACAAGUACAAGUUUGGGGAAAAUACUUGAAACCAGCAUGUUGUAUUGUGAGAAUAUUGAAAAAUAGGCACUCUAAUGCAUUGCAGGUACAGGUUCAAAAUUGAAAUAACCUGAAUAACCUUGAAGGCAGGAGAUACAGUGAGAUUUAUCAAAAUUACAGAUGCCUUUGCUCUUUGCUUCAGAAAUCUCACUGCUGAGAAUCGUGCCGACAGAUACCUCUGUACAAGUGCAAAAUGAUAUAUAGUGAAGAUUAUUCAUUGUGACACUGUUUAUAAUAGCAAAGGUUGCUUUUCCAAACCCAAGUGAUGGCAGUAGGGUUUUGUAUUGUACAUUCUCAGAAUAUAGUAACAUGUAGCCACUAAAAAAAAAAAGAAACACAUUAGAUUGUUGUAUACUGAGGUAUAGAGACCCCCAAGACAGUAUGUUAAAAAUACAAGGAACAUAACAGUUAUGUAUUUUGCUACUAUGUGUGAUAAAGUGGGAUGGUAAGAAAAUAUAUGUAUUUGCUGGCAAUUACAAAGAGAAAUACUUGGGAACACACAGCUUUUUUGGGUGAAUCCUGUAUUCUUUAGUAGUAUAAACAAAUAUUUAGUAAAAAUGAUUACCAUAGGGGGUGGAAGAAAAUGAGAUAGAAGGUAUAUUUUUAGUGGGAUAUAUUCUGUGCACAAAACCCACUAAUACAUGUUUUAAGACAUUCAGCAGGUUUAUUAAUGUCGUUAGAAUUAAAAUUUUCUAGUGUGAGAGAAGAUUUUAGUUAUAAAGUCAAAGAAGUAAAAGCAAUCUGAUAUUAAAAAUGAAUUGAAAAUACCAUUAUGCACUAGUAUUUUUAAAAACAUGUUACUCAUUAUCUAGCACUAAAGUUUCCUAGUGAGACGUUUUCCUUGGGAGCAUCCAUACCUCUAAUGCCCAGAGAUUGGUUUUUAAUUUCAUUGCCUCCUAAAGGGAACCAAGAACCUUGCAGAAAUAUCUGACUUCUGGUUUAGGGCAGGGAGGGCACAAAUAGUAAGCAAAAAUCUUUCACAGAUUAAUGAGAUACUAUCAAAUGGUAUAGAUACUAGCUUGUUGAGCCUCCUCCAGCAGGCCAAAGAUAGGACAAUUGGAGCAUCAGAAAGAAUACCGUUUGUAACUGAUAAUGAAUCUAUGAAAAUCCACGAGUCUGCAAGAAUACUCAGAGAAAGAAAAAAAUACACUGGUCGUUAUUUGAGAGCAUUGCUGAACCAAGUCACCUUUGACAUUUGGUCAUUUUAUAGGGAUUUUGAACAUUUAUCUUGUCUUACUGGGAGAAAUUGUAUUUGGAGUUUACCAAACUGUUCCAAUUGGUAAGGGAGAGCUCUGCUUUACGGAAGAAUGGCAAUUGAGAUAAAAGGAAAGAAUAAUAGGUUUAGAACAUAAUCAUUAUGAAACCACAAAUGAAAUUUUUGAUUGAGGCAGAUCAAUCAUUGCUAAUCCAUAAGGAUGAGUUUUCUCCAUCUGUCAUUAUGUCCCAAAGAUCUUGAGACUGAAAUCAUCAGGUGGAUGGUUGAUGAGGAACUAGAUGUUAGUAUGGUGCCCCAAAUUGCACAGAAUUGUUCGAAGGGGAGAAUUCAGCAAUGGAAGGAUUGAACUAUUACUGAUGCUCAAUCUAGCAUUGGUAAUCGUGGGGCCAACCAUUGGGAGUGUAAUAUGAGGGACUACAUUCUAUUUCUCAGUGUUUAACUCAAAUCUGAUAAAGCCCUUCCUAUUUAUAAGAAAUAUGGUAAUUAUUUCCUGUUUAUAGGAAAUAUGGGGCGAAUAAUAAUAAAGUAAAUUAUGUCUUCAGAAAGUAGUCAAACAAAUCAUGGGACAGAGUGACAAGUAGAGAGAUGGGGGCAGAUAGAAUAGAAAUUUUUUCUGUGUCUUUUCAUAGACUCAUAAAACAUUACCU